GACGGGGGGGCAAGCGUUGUUCGGAAUUAUUGGGCGUAAAGGGCGCGUAGGCGGUUUGACAAGUCUGAUGUGAAAUCUAUGGGCUCGACCCAUAGCCUGCAUUAGAAACUGUCGGGCUUGAGUAUGGGAGAGGUGAGUGGAAUUUCCGGUGUAGCGGUGAAAUGCGUAGAUAUCGGAAGGAACACCUGUGGCGAAAGCGGCUCACUGGACCAUAACUGACGCUGAGGCGCGAAAGCUAGGGGAGCAAACAGG
rnacentral:rRNA from 1 species